GAAACGUAACCAUAUCUCAUUAAAACCACGCCCAAAGCAUCCAUUGAAAGUCCAUGUAUGGGGAGGCAUAUCACGAUUAGGAGCUGGUCCCCUAUUAUUUUUCGAAGGGAUCAUGGAUAAGAAUUUUUUCCAAGAAACAAUAGUAGAGGAAUGUAUGGUGCCAUUUGUGAAUAAAUAUUACCCAACUCACCAUAGGAUAUUCCAAGACAAUGAUCCUAAACACUCCGCCUCAGCCAAAUUUAUGGAAGAGAAAGGUAUGAAUUGGGUACGCACACCACCAGAAUCACCAGACAUGAACCCAAUCGAAUUAGUGUGGGCUCAAUUGAAGAGGUACAUUAGGAGUGUUGCAAAGCCAACAACAAAACAGCAACUGUUGGAUGGGAUAAGGAAAUUUUGGCUAGAAGUACUCACACCUGAACAUUGUAAUAAUUAUAUAAAUCACCUGUAUAAAGUAUUACCUGUUGUAGUCGAAAGAAAUGGUCA